CGGCCCCCACCCGGACCAUGUGACGACCGCUAAGGCCGUGAUCACAAUUUUUUGGAAAUUCUAUAGAGUUCUUGAGGAGCACAAGGCUAAGGACGAUGAGUUCUUGGUGCGGGCUGCGAGGAAGAAGGCCUACCAGAUGCAGUACGAGGCGUGCUGGGUGGCCAUCUCGCACUAUUUUCACCAUGUUCCUAGUCAGAAGAUGAACAAGGAAGAAGCAAGGAGCCAAAACCUUACCUUGACUAGGGAGUAGUACUUGUUGGUGUACCCUCCAUGGUGCUAUGGAAAGAGUGAUGGACAGGCGGGAUUGGUGGAUCUGUGGCUCAUCGAGGAUGUAGAGUUUGCUGCUAGGAGCAGCUAAAACUAGCCUAAUCAAGGAUCCGAUGGAACACACGAUCAGGGAAACAGGAACCACUGGCAGCACAAGAAAGUUCAGAAAUUGAAGUGGCCGGUCUCAGACAUUGAGUCCUGGGAGCUCGCCCAUGUGCGGAGUAAUCACAAGGAUGGUGAGGGUAAGUACUAUGACAAGACCGAGGAGAACCCGACGACCUACAUGGAGGAGUAUAAGUGGUUACAUCCUGACCACCUGACCCAAAAAGGCGGAUACCGACGAGAGGGCGGUGGUCGGCAUAGGGCCGAAGAGUCAUGGUCGGGAGAAGGUUCUGGAUGCUGUGAUCACUCCUUCUGUCUCCUACACACAGCUCCGAGCUACCAACCCGAGGCCGAGGCGAAGCCCGUGCUCAAGCAUGUCUAGUGCACAGUCCAUCCUAGCCCAGUAGCACUCUGCCUACAUUGAGUUUGCACGUCAGGAGCUCUUCGAGUGGAACCAGAGAGUUGCAUCAAUCACAGACCACAGCCGUUGGAUGAUGGAAUUUAGCUUAGCCAACUUAUAACAAACCUAAGUAUUGCCAUUUCAUUUCUUCCGACCUUCGUGUUUGCCUGGUCAACUCACAUGCAGCUUGUGUUUGCAUCUAUGGAAAGCGGCACGGUUCCUACAAUGGAACCACCACCACCACCUCCUGGACUACAACCUGUGUUGCCUUCAUUGAACAAUUUGUUGCACAACACAAUUGGAUUCCGGAACCGGUGGACCAUCCAUCGAUGGUGGUGCUACCGAUAGUUCCACUCCUGAGUCACAGAUCCCAGUCACUCCGGUAUGGCGAGGUGGUGUGUUGGUCGUCUUAGCGGUGGCGGUAGCGGUAGUGGUAGCGGGGAUGACCUCGGCUUUGGCGGUGGUGGUGGACUUGAUGGCGCUUAAUUUCUUGGCGGUGACAAACUAGCCGGUCUUUUAUGCUUCUUUACAUGACUUGUCGCUUAUGUUGUGAUGAUACUUUUGUUGUCAUGAUGAUGAACUUGUGAUGAUGAUGAGUUAUGCUGUGAUGAUGAUGAUGAUGCUGUUGUGUAGAUGAUU